rnacentral:siRNA from 1 species
UCGGCAUCAGCGUGCUCCGGGC